AAAAGAAACCAACAGGGAUUGCCUCAGUAACGGCGAGUGAAGCGGCAAGAGCUCAAAUUUGAAAGCUGGCCCCCUCGGGGUCCGCAUUGUAAUUUGCAGAGGAUGCUUCGGGAGUGGCCCCCAUCUAAGUGCCCUGGAACGGGCCGUCAUAGAGGGUGAGAAUCCCGUCUGGGAUGGGGUGCCACGCCCGUGUGAAGCUCCUUCGACGAGUCGAGUUGUUUGGGAAUGCAGCUCUAAAUGGGUGGUAAAUUUCAUCUAAAGCUAAAUACUGGCCGGAGACCGAUAGCGCACAAGUAGAGUGAUCGAAAGAUGAAAAGCACUUUGAAAAGAGAGUUAAACAGCACGUGAAAUUGUUGAAAGGGAAGCGCUUGCGACCAGACUCGCCCACGGGGUUCAGCCGGCAUUCGUGCCGGUGUACUUCCCCGCGGGCGGGCCAGCGUCGGUUUGGGCGGCCGGUCAAAGGCCCUUGGAAUGUACCGCCCCCCGGGGCGGCUUAUAGCCAAGGGUGCCAUGCGGCCAGCCCGGACCGAGGAACGCGCUUCGGCUCG
rnacentral:rRNA from 1 species